YGAGGGAAAGUUGCAAAGAACUUUGAAGAGAGAGUUCAAGAGUACGUGAAACUGCUCAGAGGCAAACGGGUGGGCCCUCGAAAUCCUUUCUGCGGAGGGAUUCAGUCGGGAUCGAGCGGAGCGGUGGAGCGCCGGACCCCUCUAGAAGGACGAGCGCUCCGCCGGGCUCCUUUCGCUCGGGCCCGACGCACUUCCCCCCGCACCGAGGACGCCGCGACCGAUCGGGAGUCGGCCUUGUGCCGGUUCCUGGAGGUGGCCGGGGAACGGAGACUCGCUUCUCCCUCCCCGGUUUUUAACGGGGCCGCGCGUGGCGCGACGCCCGAUCGAGGUCGGAGUUCCCCCGUGGCGGGGAACGGAACCGUCUCCUAGCCCCCAUAGAGGCAGCGGAGCACCGGGCCAGCGCGCGCCGUCGACGCCGAAUCCACUCCCCGCAGUGGCCGGUUCGACGCAGCGCUCGCGGUGGGCCCGGGCGACCGCGGCGGGAAGAAGACUGGUCGGCGGCGAGUAGGUCGGUCACCCACCCGACCCGUCUUGAAACACGGACCAAGGAGUCUAACAUGUGCGCGAGUCGCAGGGUCUUGUCCAGGCCCUCGGGCGCAAUGAAAGUGAAGGUUUCUCCGCUCGCGGGGAAACCGGCCGGGACUCCCGCCCGAAGGCGCGGGAAGCACCGGCGACCCGUCCCCUCCGAUCCGUCGGCGGGGCGGAGUCCGAGCGCACACGUUGGGACCCGAAAGAUGGUGAACUAUGCCUGGGCAGAACGAAGCCAGAGGAAACUCUGGUGGAGGUUCGUAGCGGUUCUGACGUGCAAAUCGAUCGUCAGACCUUGG
rnacentral:rRNA from 1 species